UGGCGCCUUCAUCUUCCUAUCUAAUCCAUCUUCUUCUAUUAACUUUAACCAUAAACCAUACAUGACCAAAACAAUCCCGUCACAUACAACCAUCAACAAAUACCCAUACUUAAUUUCCUUAAACAAUCCACAAAUUCACCCAAACACUCACCACAAACAACCAAAAAAAACCAAAUCACAUAAUCAUAUCCCACGGCCAAACAAAAACCAAUCAAAAAUAUAAAAAGUUUCAAGGUGCAAAAAUUCCAUAUUCUUCUCAAAAAUUCAAGAACGAUCAAAACAAAAUUCUGAAUCCUCUCAAAUUGAUUCACAUCAUCUAGUCAAUGAAACAAUGUAGGUAAGGGAAUUCAUAAAAAUGGAUUUGUAACCUCGGGAAAAGGAUUGGCUCUAAUGGUUGGGCACGGGGGUCCUAGUCUCGAACCCGUCGGUUGUCGGUGGACUACUCGAGCUGCUCUCGCAACGAUAGCGUGUCACUCCUUGCCUGUCGGGGGAUGGAUUUGGAACGGGCCAUUCGGAGCCUCUUCCCUGAGUGUCGAAUAGUCGACUCAGAUAUGGUACAGACAAGGGGAAUCUGAUUUUUUAAAUAAAACAAAGCAUUGUGAUGGUCCGUGCAGAUGUUGACGCAAUGUGAUUUCUGCCUAGUGCUCUGAAUGUCAAAGUGAAGAACUUCAACCAAGCACGGGUAAACGGUGGGAGUAACUAUGACUCUCUUAAGGUAUCCAAAUGCUGCAUCAUCUAAUUACUGACGCACAUGAAUGGAUUAACGAGAUUCUCACUAUACCUGUCUACUAUCCAACGAAACCACAGCCAAGGGAACGGGUAUGGCGGAAUCAGUAAGGAAAGAAGAUCAUGUUGAGCUUGACUCUAGUCCGAGUUUGUGAAAUGACUUGAGAGGUGUAGGAUACGUGGGAGCUGAAAACAACGGAAGUGAAAUACUACUACUUUUAAAAUUAUUUUACUUAUUCUGUGAAAUACUACUACUUUUUGGACCCAAGGUCGGCCUCGGUCAGUCUAUCCGGGUUGAAGACAUUGUCAGGUAGGGAGUUUGGAUGGGGCGACACAUUUGUUAAAAGAUAACGCAGGUGUCCUAAGAUGAGCUCGUUUGAUUCUUAUUUCCAGUAUGAAUACGAACCAUGAAAACAUGGCCUAUCGAUCCUUUAGUCCUUCGGAAUUUGAAGCUAGAGGUGUCAGAAAAGUUACCAUAGAGAUAAUUGGUUGUUGCCAGCCAAGCAUUCAUAGCGAUGUUGCUUUUUGAUCCUUCGAUGUUGGCUCUUCCUAUCAUUGUGAAGCAGAAUUCACCAAGUGUGGGAUUGUUCGCCCACCAAUAGGGCACGUGAGCUGGGUUUAGACCGUUGUGAGACACGUUAAUUUUACCCUAUUGAUGAUAGUUUCGCAAUAGUAAUUCAACCUAAUACGAGAGAAAUCGUUGAUUCUCACAAUUGGUGAUUGCGGUUGGUUGAAAAAGCCUGUGGCACAAAGCUAAAGUGCGAUGGAUUACGAUUGAACGCUUCUAAGUCAAAAUCUAGGCUAGAAGUGAUGCGUGUGCCCAUCGCCUGUUUGCCGACCAGUAGUAGGGGGCCUCACCCCCCUAGAGGCAUGUGUCAUUGGUGAGCCCCGCGGGGUGGAUGAGCCUCGCGGGAUGCCUUGAAGUGCUAUUCCCCACUAGGCGGCAGGUAGAAUCCUUUGCAGACGACUUAAAUACGCGACAGGAUAUUGUAAGUGGUAGAGUGGCCUUGCAGCCAUGAUCCACUAAGAUUCAGCCCU
rnacentral:rRNA from 1 species